CAUCUUUUAUCUUUUAAAAGACCUAGUAAUAGGUAUGCUUUAGGAGGGGCUUGCGCCAUAUUAGUUAGUUGGUAGGGUAAUGGCCUACCAAGACGAUGAUGUGUAGCUGGACUGAGAGGUUGAACAGCCACAUUGGGACUGAGACAGGGCCCAAACUCCUUCGGGAGGGCAGCAGUAGGAAUUUUCGGCAAUGGAGGAAACUCUGACCGAGCAACGCCGCGUGAAUGACGAAGUACUUCGGUAUGUAAAGUUCUUUAUCAAGGAAGAAAAGCAAAUGGCGAACCAUUUGUUUGCCGGUACUUGAUGAAUAAGCCCCGGCUAAUUAUGUGCCAGCAGCCGCGGUAAGACAUAAGGGGCAAGUGUUAUCCGGAAUUAUUGGGCGUAAAGGGUGCGUAGGCGGUCUAGUAAGUCAGUGGUGUAAUGGCAACGCUUAACGUUGUCCGGCUAUUGAAACUGCUAAACUUGAGUUAGAUAGAGGCGAGUGGAAUUCCAUGUGUAGCGGUAAAAUGCGUAAAUAUAUGGAGGAACACCAGAGGCGUAGGCGGCUCGCUGGGUCUUAACUGACGCUGAGGCACGAAAGCGUGGGGAGCAAACAGGAUUAGAUACCCUGGUAGUCCACGCCGUAAACGAUGAGUACUAAGUGUCGGGUUAAACCGGUACUGAAGUUAACACAUUAAGUACUCCGCCUGAGUAGUACGUACGCAAGUAUGAAACUUAAAGGAAUUGACGGGACUCCGCACAAGCGGUGGAUCAUGUUGUUUAAUUCGAAGAUACCCGAAAAACCUUACCAGGUCUUGACAUGUUUUUGCAAAAUGAUAGUAAUAUCGUGGAGGUUACCAGAAACACAGGUGGUGCAUGGUUGUCGUCAGCUCGUGUCGUGAGAUGUUAGGUUAAGUCCUAAAACGAGCGAAACCCUUAUCGUUAGUUGCCAGCACGUUAUGGUGGGGACUUUAACGAGACUGCCAAUGAUAAAUUGGAGGAAGGUGAGGAUCACGUCAAAUCAGCAUGCCCCUUAUGACCUGGGCUACAAACGUGAUACAAUGGCUGUUACAAAGGGUAGCUGAAACGCAAGUUCUUGGCCAAUCCCCAAAAACAGUCCCAGUCCGGAUUGAAGUCUGCAACUCGACUUCAUGAAGUUGGAAUCGCUAGUAAUCGCGAAUCAGCAUGUCGCGGUGAAUACGUUCUCGGGGUUUGUACACACCGCCCGUCAAAC
rnacentral:rRNA from 1 species